UGAUUUAACUGCUAUCAUGAUCCAGGAUAAAAAAUAAGGAGCUGGGGAAAAUAUCCUUGCAAUUUAAAAAACAUGCUUUUCCAUAAAUAAUAAAACCCAGUAGUACCAACCGGAAGGAGCUAACAUGAAUCCACAGCUCCAUGGACCAGAGCCGCUGUUCCAAGUAACUGUCAAACAGGGUCCUAAGCAAAACACUACCUGCCACUGCUAUUUUAAGCACGUAUGGAUUGAGACUCAGGAGACUGACAUCCUCAAGCACAAGUUUACGCUGACUGAUAUACUGUUGUGUGACUACAGCCAAGGAAGGGGAACGCCAUGGAAAAAAGGCUGUGAGCAGGAACACCAUAGCAAGGCCCUGGAAGCACCAAUUCUCCACAGUUCGCUCUGAGGGAGACCCCCUCUGAAUGAAGUUGGCGGCCUGGCCACCGUUGAAACGGCAAUGCUCUGAAAUUAGAGGUGAAGGAGGCAAGCUUGUAAAUUACAUCCAUUCACAAAUUGAAUUAAUUACAGUUGGCUGGAGCACAGGUGGGACGAAUCCAACUGGAGCUUGUCUGAAAGCAAGAGAGAAAAUGACGGCGAGGAAACGGAGGCAGUGUCUAGAACCAGGGCUAGGAACAUGGCGGAGCUCAGGGCGGCUGGAGCCAGAGCUGAAGCAGAUUCCCUGUGGCUUCCUCGGUAGACACGCUUUCUAUUUUCACUGCUCCAACCGUAUGCAGCUGCCAUCAGCUCUCAAGUUUCCAGAUUUGUGUUUCAGCCACCAUGGAUAUGCAUGGCUCCUUUUCAUUCCCAAACACCAGAGGGGCUGGGAAUGCGCUUCAGUUAACAGAGUGUUUGUCUGGCAAGAAGGAAGGCCUGAGUUUGACCCCUAGCAUCACAAAAAUAGGAUGUGGUUAUGCAUGCCUGUAAUCCCGGCGUUUAGGAGGAUCAGGAGUUCAAGGUUAUCCUUGGCUAUGUUGCAAAUUCAAGGCUGUCUGGGGCUAUAUGAAACCCUGUCUGAACAAAGAUAAAGUAAUUUUGUGGCAUUUGAUUCAGCUGCUGCCUGGGUGUGGAGGCUCAGCACUCAAGGCAAUUCUUCUGAUGCAGGCUGGUGAGGUAGAGGGGUCUCAAUAGAGACCAGAAGGUGAGGCAGCCAACUCCUUGGAGGCCCGGAACACGUGUGCCCUGGAGAGUGGUUAGAUUUGAAGAAAAGCAAUGAGAAGAAAAGUGGAGAGCACAAAGAUCUCCUUUUCCAAGAGGGGUCCAGUCAGAAUCAUCUGGUGUGUGGUUCUAUUACAUACUUUGAAUGCCGUGUUCUAUGUGGUUGAAAGUGUAUCACCUACGUUAAGGUAAAGUACUGUUAACACAGACCCAUCGGUUAUCCGUGGAGUAUGUGCAAAUGGUGAUUUGUCCUCAAAUAAUACUCAGCACAAAGGGGCUUACCUGUAACUCCAAUUAAAAUCCAAAGCUAAUCUGCAAUGUAGGCGGGGCAUUGCUGAUUGCUGCUGAUGGCUUAAAAACUGCUUUGAUACAUAUACACAUAUAUGUGUGUGUAUGUGUAUGUAUAUAUGUAUAUGUGAUAUAUGUGUAUGUAAAUAUAUACACAUAUAUAUGUAUGAUACAUAUACAUGGGUCUGUAUCAUAUAGAUAUAUGAUAUAUAUGUGUGUGUGUGUACUUGUUUGUUUUUAGUUGACACAUUAUGAAUGUUUGCAUCUAUGAGUACAGAGUGAAAUUUUAGCAUACACUAUGCAUACAAUCAGGGUUAAAACAUAUUUAUUGCCUGAAAUGUUUAUCACCUUUAUGGGUAGGUGUUGGUAACAUUAGAAAUGCUCUCUAGGAUCUGUUUUGAAUUAAAUGAUUAAAUGUUGUUCACCAUA